rnacentral:rRNA from 1 species
UGGGGAAUAUUGCGCAAUGGGCGAAAGCCUGACGCAGCAACGCCGCGUGAGUGAUGAAGGCCUUCGGGUCGUAAAGCUCUGUCGGAGGGAACGAAUGCUCCUGAAGUUAACAGCCUCAGGAGGUGACGGUACCCUCAAAGGAAGCACCGGCUAACUACGUGCCAGCAGCCGCGGUAAUACGUAGGGUGCAAGCGUUAAUCGGAAUUACUGGGCGUAAAGCGUGCGCAGGCGGUUGUGUAAGUCAGAUGUGAAAUCCCCGGGCUCAACCUGGGAAUUGCAUUUGAGACUGCACGGCUAGAGUGUGUCAGAGGGGGGUAGAAUUCCACGUGUAGCAGUGAAAUGCGUAGAUAUGUGGAGGAAUACCGAUGGCGAAGGCAGCCCCCUGGGAUAACACUGACGCUCAUGCACGAAAGCGUGGGGAGCAAACAGGAUUAGAUACCCCAGUAGUCCCUGAGCGGGCUGGCAAGGCGCAU